AGAUAAAAAAGAGGAGGACCAUGUCUCACCAGUCACUGGUACAGAAAUGGUUCAGAAACGCUCUACUGUAACUGUUGUGUCAACAGUACUGCCUGUGUAAGUAGGGUGUGUAGGUUGGGGGUGGGGGGGUUGUCAGCGCAUGCAGUGAUGUGGGCUGGUGUGUAUUUUCUUUUCCCAGUCUGCCCCUGACCAGUGCUGUAGGUAAGACUUACUAUUCAUCUCAGACUCCCUCCAUGCAUACUGAUCCUGUUGUGACUCAUGUAUGUUUAGGCACCACUGUGUAAGCCAGACAUAGAUAUGAGUGAAAGAGGCUAAAGCUGGUGGUCUCAUUCACAGGGAGCUUUGAUGAGACACAAGAAAUGCACGAAGUGUGCUGUUGCUCGUCUUCCUCGUGACGUGCUUCAUCCUCAGUCUGCUGGUGGACGUUGGGUUCUUUGUGGUCAAGUUGAGGAGGGCUCGCAUCCCCUGGAGAAAAGAAAGAGGUGAUUGCGCACACCUGCGCCGCUUCCCUUUUAAAUGGGGAGCUCUGGGCGCGAGCCAUAUCAGGGAGAGGUGGACUCCAAGCUGCAGUGCCAGUGCACAGACAGACCAAGGACAGACCAACAACCUGAGGCCGGCAACCUGAGGCCGGCAACCUGAGGCCGGCAACCUGAGGCCGGCAACCUGAGGCCGGCAACCUGAGGACGGCAACCUGAGGCCGGCAACCUGAGGACGGCAACCUGAGGACGGCAACCUGAGGACGGCAACCUGAGGCCGGCAACCUGAGGCCGGCAACCUGAGGACGGCAACCUGAGGACGGCAACCUGAGGCCGGCAACCUGAGGCCGGCAACCUGAGGCCGGCAACCUGAGGACGGCAACCUGAGGACGGCAACCUGAGGACGGCAACCUGAGGACGGCAACCUGAGGACGGCAACCUGAGGACGGCAACCUGAGGACGGCAACCUGAGGACGGCAACCUGAGGACGGCAACCUGAGGCCGGCAACCUGAGGCCGGCAACCUGAGGACGGCAACCUGAGGACGGCAACCUGAGGCCGGCAACCUGAGGCCGGCAACCUGAGGCCGGCAACCUGAGGACGGCAACCUGAGGCCGGCAACCUGAGGACGGCAACCUGAGGACGGCAACCUGAGGACGGCAACCUGAGGCCGGCAACCUGAGGCCGGCAACCUGAGGCCGGCAACCUGAGGCCGGCAACCUGAGGACGGCAACCUGAGGACGGCAACCUGAGGACGGCAACCUGAGGACGGCAACCUGAGGACGGCAACCUGAGGACGGCAACCUGAGGACGGCAACCUGAGGACGGCAACCUGAGGACGGCAACCUGAGGACGGCAACCUGAGGACGGCAACCUGAGGACGGCAACCUGAGGACGGCAACCUGAGGACGGCAACCUGAGGACGGCAACCUGAGGACGGCAACCUGAGGACGGCAACCUGAGGACGGCAACCUGAGGACGGCAACCUGAGGACGGCAACCUGAGGACGGCAACCUGAGGACGGCAACCUGAGGCCUCAUGAACUACUUGAACAUUGUUUUAUUUCAGGGCAUGGACUGGUAUGUUCAGAUUAAAUGACAGCAUAGUUUCACUCUGGUUAUGAGGAGGAUGUGGAGCUGAACCCAAUGCAGGGUUUCAGAUGGCAAAGAGACAAUAGUUACAGUCACUGGUGGUUUAGACAUGCCAUUACUCUCAACACCCAUGUCUCUCAACGCCCCGAGACACUUCAACUAGUUUGAACUUGUGUGUAGGUCUUUUAACAAUGCCUGUUAACAAUGCCUGUUAUGCAUCUUGGCUGCAGGUAUUAUAUUAAACUACUCACCCUAACUGCAUCCUGAAUAAAGUGACUUAUGGUUUGACAAAAGGAUUCCAUGUAUUGUGUAAAUGAUCUGUCGCUUAUAAUUGUCAUUGAGGAAAUGGUUAAAUGUUAGGACAUUUUGACUAUCCACAUUGGAACGUUCUUAUCUUU